UGCUCGCUUCAGCGGCAAUAUACUAAAAUUGGAAUUAUCCAGAGGAGAUAAGCGCAGCCCCGGUGCUAGAAUGACAUGCAGCUUUGUGAAAGCAUUCCAUAUUUUU